rnacentral:misc_RNA from 1 species
AACGCACGAGACCUGCGGACCUGCGGAGGGAUCAUUAGUGAACGCCCUCGCGGGCUUAUAACUAUUCCAAACCUCUGUGAACCGUGCCCUUCGGGGCUAUUUUACAAACAUGGUGUAAUGAACGUCAUAUAUCAUAACAAAACAAAACUUUUAGCAAUGGAUCUCU